GCGCCCGAGCAGCAGGCCAACUGGUUGCCGCUACCGUCGGUGGGGUCGGCAACCUUGCUGCUGCGCGUGUACGAACCGCGCCCCGCGCU
rnacentral:tRNA from 1 species